GCGCUCGCUCUUCCAUAGAUAUCUGUCUGUCUCCCCACAUUUCACUACUCGAACUUCAAUGAUCUAGCUUCUACAUCAAAAUCGUCAGUUAAGAAUCUGCCACAGAUCGAGAAAAUGGUGAUGGCUAUCGAGCAAGAACACCCCAAGAAGGCAUCUGGAUGGGCUGCAAGAGAUUCAUCUGGUGUUCUCUCUCCCUUCAAUUUCUACAGAAGGGAAACCGGAGAGAAAGACGUGACGUUCAAAGUGUUGUACUGUGGGAUUUGCCAUUCGGACCUUCACAUGGUCAAGAAUGAAUGGGGCUUCUCUACCUAUCCUCUGGUUCCAGGGCAUGAGAUUGUUGGUGAAGUUACGGAAGUAGGGAGCAAAGUACAAAAAUUUAAAGUUGGAGACAGAGUCGGUGUUGGAUGCAUUGUGGGAUCUUGCCGAUCUUGUGAAAAUUGUACCGACCACCUUGAGAACUACUGCCCCAAACAGAUACUCACUUACGGUGCCAAGUACUACGACGGAAGCACCACCUAUGGCGGUUACUCUGACAUUAUGGUGGCCGAUGAACACUUCAUAGUACGCAUCCCAGACAACUUGCCUCUUGAUGGUGCUGCGCCGCUCCUAUGUGCCGGGAUUACAACCUACAGCCCCCUGAGAUAUUUCGGACUUGACAAGCCCGGCAUGCAUGUAGGUGUGGUCGGCCUAGGCGGUUUAGGCCACGUCGCCGUGAAGUUUGCCAAGGCUAUGGGAGUGAAGGUUACAGUGAUCAGUACGUCCCCUAAGAAAGAGGAGGAAGCUCUUAAACACCUAGGAGCUGACUCGUUUUUGGUUAGCCGUGACCAAGAUCAAAUGCAGGCUGCCAUUGGUACCAUGGAUGGGAUCAUUGACACAGUUUCUGCACAACAUCCUCUCCUGCCUUUGAUUGGUUUGUUGAACUCUCAUGGAAAGCUUGUUAUGGUUGGUGCACCAGAGAAGCCUCUUGAACUUCCAGUUUUUCCUUUACUCAUGGGAAGAAAGAUGGUAGCUGGUAGCGGCAUUGGGGGUAUGAAGGAGACACAAGAGAUGAUAGAUUUUGCAGCCAGGCACAACAUAACAGCAGACAUCGAAGUCAUACCAAUCGACUACUUGAACACUGCUAUGGAGCGUCUAGUCAAAGCAGAUGUCAGAUACCGUUUUGUCAUCGACAUUGGAAACACACUGAAGGCUAGCUCUUAAAUUCUGCAAUCCAGACUGGAUCAACAAUUUCCUGAACUUGUGAAAUCUGAGAUAUUGUACGAUGGAAUGUUCCUUGAAGACAAUCAAGCACUUAGCGAAUCAUGGUUCGCCGUCGGGGUUGACCCUCGAUCACAGUGGAACAUGUCUGAAGCAACAAUUUCAUUUGCCGAAGAAGUGCAGGCCUAUGGAUGGGCUGCUAGAGAUUCCUCAGGAAUUCUCUCUCCCUUCCACUUUACCAGGAGGACUAAUGGUGGUAAUGAUAUCACAAUGAAGAUACUCUACUGUGGCAUUUGCCACUCGGACCUUCACCUUGCUAAGAACGAAGUUGGAACAAGCAGAUAUCCCCUCCUCCCAAGACAUGAGAUCGUAGGCGAAGUAACAAAGGUCGGGAGCAGCGUCACAAAGUUCAAAGUAGGAGACAAAGCCGGAGUGGGGUGCAUGGUGGGUUCUUGUGGUUCAUGCGAUAACUGCGCACGAGACUUGGAAAAUCACUGCCCCAAGAUGAAAUGAACCUACAAUAACUUCGGCGAUGAAUCGACGUUAACGUUCGGUGGAUACUCCGACAAGCUAGUAGUUGAGGAGCAUUUCGCAGUCCGAAUUCCAGAUAAUUUGCCAUUAGCAGGUGUUGCGCCUAUGCUCUGUGCUGGGAUUACAGUGUACAGCCCUAUGAAACACUUUGGACUAUUUGAGCAUGGUAAGCAUUUGGGAGUGAUAGGGCUCGGCGGCCUUGGUCAUAUGGCUGUGAAGUUUGCAAAAGCUGUGGGAGCAAAAGUGACAGUGAUAAGUACCUCUCCGAAUAAGAAGAAGGAAGCAAUCGAACAACUUGGUGUUGAUGAGUUUCUGAUUAGUGGCGACCAACAGCAACUGCAGGCUGCCGUGGGUACAAUGGAUGGUAUCAUCGACACAGUUUCAGCCCCUCAUGCUCUCUUGCCAUUGAUUGAAAUGUUAAAGACAGAUGGAAAGCUAAUUUUGGUGGGUGCUCCUCUCAUACCUCCUGAGCUACCAGUUUUCCCUUCGAUAAUGGGGAGGAAGUUGAUUGCUGGCAGUAAAUUUGGGGGAAUGAAAGAGACUCAAGAGACGAUAGAUUUUGCAGCAAAGCACAACAUCACAGCGGAUGUUGAAGUUAUUCCCAUGGAUUAUGUGAACACUGCUUUCGAACGAGUUGCCAAGGUUGAUGUUAAGUACCGCUUUGUCAUUAAUGUAGAAAACACCUUGAACUCUCCAUAG